rnacentral:rRNA from 1 species
GACGAACGCUGGCGGCGUGCUUAACACAUGCGAGUCGAACGGAAAGGCCUCUUUCGGGGGGUGCUCGAGUGGCGAACGGGUGAGUAACACGUGAGUAACCUGCCCUUGACGUUGGGAUAACUGCAGGAAACGGGGGCUAAUACCGGAUAGGAGCUCCUGCUGCAUGGUGGGGGUUUGAAAGUUUCGGCGGUUGGGGAUGGACCCGCGGCUUAUCAGCUUGUUGGUGGGGUAGUGGCUUACCAAGGCUUUGACGGGUAGCCGGCCUGAGAGGGUGACCGGCCACAUUGGGACUGAGAUACGGCCCAGACUCCUACGGGAGGCAGCAGUGGGGAAUAUUGCACAAUGGGUGGAAGCCUGAUGCAGCAACGCCGUGUGCGGGAUGACGGCCUUCGGGUUGUAAACCGCUUUCGCUCAUGACGAAGCUUUGUGUGACGGUAGUGGGUAAAGAAGCACCGGCUAACUACGUG